rnacentral:rRNA from 1 species
GCAACGCCGCGUGAGUGAUGAAGGUUUUCGGAUCGUAAAACUCUGUUGUUAGGGAAGAACAAGUACCGUUCGAAUAGGGCGGUACCUUGACGGUACCUAACCAGAAAGCCACGGCUAACUACGUGCCAGCAGCCGCGGUAAUACGUAGGUGGCAAGCGUUGUCCGGAAUUAUUGGGCGUAAAGCGCGCGCAGGCGGUUUCUUAAGUCUGAUGUGAAAGCCCCCGGCUCAACCGGGGAGGGUCAUUGGAAACUGGGGAACUUGAGUGCAGAAGAGGAGAGUGGAAUUCCACGUGUAGCGGUGAAAUGCGUAGAGAUGUGGAGGAACACCAGUGGCGAAGGCGACUCUCUGGUCUGUAACUGACGCUGAGGCGCGAAAGCGUGGGGAGCGAACAGGAUUANAUACCCUGGUAGUCCACGCCGUAAACGAUGAGUGCUAAGUGUUAGAGGGUUUCCGCCCUUUAGUGCUGCAGCAAACGCAUUAAGCACUCCGCCUGGGGAGUACGGUCGCAAGACUGAAACUCAAAGGAAUUGACGGGGGCCCGCACAAAGCGGUGGAGCAUGUGGUUUAAUUCGAAGCAACGCGAAGAACCUUACCAGGUCUUGACAUCCUCUGACAACCCUAGAGAUAGGGCUUCCCCUUCCGGGGCCANANUGACAGGUGGUGCAUGGUUUGUCGUCC